GGUCUCUCUCGGUCUUGGCUCUUGGCUCUGGGCUCUCUCUGGCUCUCUCGAUGUAAAAAUGUAAGAAUGUAAGGAAGUCCAGCAAUUACCAUCUGCUGUUGAAACAUUCAUUAUCCAGUAACAUCCUUUGUUGUUUUAUUAUGUAUCUGUAACUAAGAAUAAACCUGAAGAAACCGUAAGUCAGAUUGCGUAUUAGUACUUUUCAAUAAUAUAGACAUAUAUUAUUGUGGCGAGCAUUUGGCCCAAGACUAUAUAUACAAAAGAUGUAUAUAUAUAUCAAUCAACUGAAGACAAGAAGAAAUUAAGAAGAUUUAAUAGUGACGAUCGUUCCAACCAGAUUUUACAUUGGCCAGCCAGCCAGCCAGUCUUCUAUUCAAGUUUUGUUCCCCCUUCAAGGGGGGGAGAGAGAAGAAUCAAGUUACAAAGCUAUUUUGGAACUGGGAAAACAAACUUGAAGAGAAAAAAAGAAUCUAGACUGACUAUCAUAAAAGAACUGUGGUUUGUAAGAAAAAGAAAGUUUUCAAAUCACAAAGACUGUACAAGACUAUUUUCUACAACUGAGACAAAAAGCACAAGAUCCAACAUGAAUUCUAGAAGCAAGCACGUGGCAGAGAUUGGCAAUCAUCCAGAUCCAAGCCCAGAACUGCGCAGCUGUGUGGAUGAAGCAACGAAAUAGACAGAAAUAACUGAUCUGGUGAGUAACAUGGAAUUCAUAAAUGAUAUUGCAGAGAAAAGUAAAUUGCAGUUUGCAUGUAAUAGCAGCUAUUCAGAUGCUGUAUUGUGGCAAUCUUUAUACACACAAUGUGAAAUUGCCAAUAGUGAAAUUGACAAGAAAUUGUUUGUUAAUAAGAAAAAACAAAAGAUCCAAAAUUUUAUGAAACUUGUCUGUACUUACAAUGUAUUGAUUUGUAAACAAGAUGCAGGUCAAGAAAAUUUAGAAUCAGCAGAUAAAGAAGUAGAUUUGUAUGGGUUAACAGAAGACAAAUCAGAUUUAAAUGAACAGUGUAACAAAGUAACAGAGAGCACAUGCUGUAAAUAGUCAGAAACAGUCUGUGAACUAGAGGAUAGAGUUGAAUUAAUAAACAAUCUUUUUUGCCAGCUUAGAAAUGAAGUUAAGCAAAUGUGUGUUAAUACAAGAAAAAUACAGGCACAGAAUUUAAUCCCAGAACCAAUAGAUACUGAAAAUGUAUCCUCACAGAGUGAUUUGCAGAAAUGCAAAUUUCAAGACAGUGCUGCAAAACUUAAUUUGAAAAUACAUGAACAAUUAAUGAAAAUUGUGAAAUGUAUUCCAGUGUAUGACACGUCAGUGGAUGCAUUUACUAAUGCUGAAAUGUUUGAGUCAAAUUUGGAUAAAUACAGCCUAAAUGACGUUGCUUUAUUCUUAGAUAACUUGAGAGAAACCAAUAAUGAAGGGGUUAAAAUGACUUGUGGAAUUAGGCAGAGAAAGAAGUGAAGAUUUGACACCCCUCGUCCCCCUCCUCCUUUUUCUAGGACUCAAUGUAAAAGAGUGAUACAGACAGCUGAGCCACUCACAAAUUUUUUGUACUAGAAACUGCACAAUUAAUCAAAGGCAGAAUAUAACUCCUAAAGUUAUUUGUUUUUGGUGCAGUAAACAACAUUAUUUAAGGUCUUGCAGAUAUUUUAUCCGAUAUAUCAAAUCAAAAGCAAAUGAGAAAUUAAAUUUGUUGAUUGAAAAUUUUGACAGAGAAAAUACAUGUGGAGAUAAAUCAAUUAAAGCCUUUCCUUGUAAACUGAUAAUCAGACAAAUAAGAGCAAUUUUAGCUAAAUCGAAAUUAGGAGACAGACAAGCAAUGCAGUGUAACACAGAAAGUUAUAAGAAUCAGAUAACUUCAAGAGAUAUGAUCAGUUUAGGGAAUGAGCAUGGAUAUGUGUGCCAACAGAUGUACACAGGCUGAUUCCAGAAUUAAGAACAGCACACAAGAAAAGAGAUCUAUGUGAGUUUGUUGUUUUAAUGAAUUGUUAGUCUGAACUGUUUUUUCAUUGUUUUUAUGUGUGUUGUAAGAAAGUAUUAGGUUAAUUAAUUAAAAUAAAAAUUUACAUCAAGUUUGCAAAUAUGGCAGAAUGAAAUACACUAAUGAAGCAGUUAGGAACAUGCAAUGUAUGUUAUAUUGGGUGUAUGCGAUUAUACAGUAACUCAUUUUACAGAAGGAAAAAAAAAAAACAAUGAAUAUUCCUUGUUACUUCUGAGGUUAAUUUACAAUCUUUGAUUUAAUUCAUGAGAGUGAGAUUUUAAUAUCAUGACUGAUAAUGGAUUACUAUAUUUUGCAAAUCCUGGACAUACAUAUGUUUUGACUACAUAGAAGACAAAAGUUUUGAUAGAAUAAAACCUAGAUUUACAAAUACAUUUGAUGUAGGAAACAAUAGAUGUUUUUUUGUAGUUUGUUUCAUGUGACAAAAAUGGUGCCAGUGACAAGAUGGCUGCUAUUGCUAAACUAUAGUGGAAAACAAUAUUUUGUUGUAACAUCUGACAUGUGAUUAGGUUAUACCUCCAGAUUAUUAAACAGUUUAAAAGGGGGUAUGAUUAAUAAAAAGUUUGGAAAUUUAAAAUGUUCAGAAAGAUUUUAAUAUAAAGGAAAUUUAAAGAUUAUACAUCACAUGGCAUAAAUGUAAUGACCACUAGAUGGUAGAUCUCAUGAGAAGAAAUGAGAAUGUUGUGUAGUCAAUAAAAUUCAAUGUUAAACAUUGUAAGCCAUUGUAUUGAUGCUGCACAUGUUUUUUUGUUUUAAUGUAGGUAAAGCGUGACAGAUCCUUGUGGCAAAAAUCAGGAAAGCAUUCCUUCAGACAACUGGACAUCGACUGUUGGAAAGAGACUUUUCAUCUGAUCUGCAAACUGUGAUGGAAGAUUCUACGGAGUUCAUUCGAUACAGAAGAUUAACAGACUUACAAAGAAAUAAAAGAUUGACACUAACAUUCUUAUUAAUUCCUAAAUAUUAAUGGAAAAGAAAACAGACAAUGAAAAGUUAUAUAACAGUUUAUGAGUGUAUUAAAGGACCACUCUAGGCACCCAGACCACUUCAGCUUAAUGAAGUGGUCUGGGUGUCAGGUCCAGCUAGGGUUAACCCUUUUUUAAAUAAACAUAGCAGUUUCAGAGAAACUGCUAUGUUUAUAAAUGGGUUAAUCCAGCCUCCAAAUCCUCUAGUGGCUGUCACAUUGACAGCCGCUAGAGGCGUUUGCGUGCUUCUCACUGUGAAAAUCACGGUGAGAAGACGCCAGCGUCCAUAGGAAAGCAUUGUGAAUGC
rnacentral:lncRNA from 1 species